rnacentral:rRNA from 1 species
UGGGGAAUAUUGCACAAUGGGCGCAAGCCUGAUGCAGCCAUGCCGCGUGUGUGAAGAAGGCCUUCGGGUUGUAAAGCACUUUCAGCGAGGAGGAAGGCAGUCGUGUUAAUAGCACGAUUGAUUGACGUUACUCGCAGAAGAAGCACCGGCUAACUCCGUGCCAGCAGCCGCGGUAAUACGGAGGGUGCAAGCGUUAAUCGGAAUUACUGGGCGUAAAGCGCACGCAGGCGGUUUGUUAAGUCAGAUGUGAAAUCCCCGCGCUUAACGUGGGAACUGCAUUUGAAACUGGCAAGCUAGAGUCUUGUAGAGGGGGGUAGAAUUCCAGGUGUAGCGGUGAAAUGCGUAGAGAUCUGGAGGAAUACCGGUGGCGAAGGCGGCCCCCCUGGACAAAGACUGACGCUCAGGUGCGAAAGC